rnacentral:rRNA from 1 species
AUUGAACGCUGGCGGCAGGCCUAACACAUGCAAGUCGAACGGUAGCACAGAGAGCUUGCUCUCGGGUGACGAGUGGCGGACGGGUGAGUAACGUCUGGGAAACUGCCCGAUGGAGGGGGAUAACUACUGGAAACGGUAGCUAAUACCGCAUAACGUCGCAAGACCAAAGUGGGGGACCUUCGGGCCUCACACCAUCGGAUGUGCCCAGAUGGGAUUAGCUAGUAGGUGGGGUAAUGGCUCACCUAGGCGACGAUCCCUAGCUGGUCUGAGAGGAUGACCAGCCACACUGGAACUGAGACACGGUCCAGACUCCUACGGGAGGCAGCAGUGGGAAAUAUUGCACAAUGGGCGCAAGCCUGAUGCAGCCAUGCCGCGUGUAUGAAGAAGGCCUUCGGGUUGUAAAAUACUUUCAGCGGGGAGGAAGGCGGUGAAGUUAAUAACUUCACCGAUUGACGUUACCCGCAGAAGAAGCACCGGCUAACUCCGUGCCAGCCGCCGCGGUAA